ACGCGGCUGACGCCCCCUCGGCUCUCCCCUCCCUCUCUCCAGCCCGAGCCCCCAGCUAUAAAAGGCCCGGCUGCACCCCAGCUCCGGGACUGGUUUCCCUGUGGAGCAGCAGCUACUUACGGAGCAGCAGCCCCUGGGGGACAGUGGCCUUACAGUUGAUCCAUCAUGUGGCAUGCAGUGGCGGGGUCUCAUCGCUCUCACUGUUCACCUCAGCCCAAGCAUUUAAAGCGGAUCACAGUCUACAUGUUGGUGCUGUUGGUAUCACUCAGCUUUACGUCAGGCCAGCGCAGAUCGUUUAAACAUCAGAUAGACAACAGAAGUCCUGAGAUUGAUCCGUUUUGGUAUGUGGGACGUGGGGUCCGACCUAUCGGCCGGUUUGGGAAAAGGCAGCUAAGGAGCAGCCCCAAGAGCCUGAGGCCUGGGAUCAGCAGCCUGGAGCUGGUUGUGAAUGCUUUGCAGGAGCAAGAAGCACUGGAUGCAGAAGACGAUGGCUGGUGGUGAUUUCCUUGUCAACCGCAGUAACUAAACUCAGUUGCUUCUCUCAUUUGAAUUGAAUUCUCUCUCUCUCCCCUCCCCACCUCCUCACAUACAGGUUCAAACUCUGUUUUGGUUCUGCUUUUUGCUUACAUGUCCUUUGCCACAUCUUUGGUUUAUUUCCUGUGUAAACUCCUUUUAAAAGAAGCACUCUCAGGUGGAAAGAUCCAAAUUGAAAAGUGAUGCUAAAUGCAAACUAUGCUGUUCACACACUUCCUCUCCUGAACAAAGCAUCCAUCCUCCCUCCUUCCCUCCCCCCCGUAAACUAAUGCCACUGUGAAGGUAGAUCUGUGCAAGAACCAAAAGAUUUCCAUGCUUGGAAUCAACUCUGUAUAAAACAUGCUCUCCAUGCUAGCCUGACAACAAACCUUUCUGUCAUGUUUCAAAGCGACUCGUUAAUGCUGGUUAAAAGUAAACAAUGGCUGGCUGAACUAACACACAUUCUUAGUAAUGUAUUUACCAAUAUUAAAUAGAUAUGAAAUGUUA